rnacentral:rRNA from 1 species
AGCAGCCGCGGUAAUUCCAGCUCCAAUAGCGUAUAUUAAAGUUGUUGCAGUUAAAAAAGCUCGUAGUUGAAUUUCGGGAUCAAUUUGCUGGUCGUGCCUCUGGUACGUACUGGUAUUAUUGGUUUCUCCCUUCUGACGAACCAUGAUGUCAUUAAUUUGAUGUCGUGGAGAAUCAGGACUGUUACUUUGAAAAAAAUUAGAGUGUUUAAAGCAGGCAUUAGCUUGAAUACAUUAGCAUGGAAUAAUGAAAUAGGACGUUUGAUCCUAUUUUGUUGGUUUCUAGGAUUGACGUAAUGAUUAAUAGGGAUAGUUGGGGGCAUUAGUAUUCAAUUGUCAGAGGUGAAAUUCUUGGAUUUAUUGAAGACUAAACUACUGCGAAAGCAUUUGCCAAGGAUGUUUUCAUUAAAUCAAGAACGAAAGUUAGGGGAUCGAAGACGAUCAGAUACCGUCGUAGUCUUAACCAUAAAACUAUGCCGACUAGGGAUCGGAUGAUGUUAAUUUUUUAAAUGACUCAUUCGGC